rnacentral:tRNA from 1 species
AUUAAAGUGGCAGAUUGAUGCGAGGGAUUUAAGCUCCCUCUAUGAUGUUUUCCUUUAGUA